GUCCCCUUUGGGGUGAUAUACGAAAAAACUGGAACGAUGCAGAGAAGGGUUUUUCCUUUGUCAAUGAUUUCACUGAAAUUCCCGGAGUGGUUAAUCUGUCCAUUUGCGGAAAUUUUCCCUUUUUGGAUAUUUCAAUAUUUUGACCCAGACAUUGUCCAGGUCAAAAAUAUAUGAUAUUGUUCAGUUAACAUGGCCCCUGCACAAGGAUGACAUGCUUUUCCAGAGUGGUAGAUCUAUGGAUCUCGAUAUUUAUUUUU
rnacentral:snRNA from 1 species